UUGUUUGGUUGUCGAGAAAAUGCAGGAAAACAUUUGUCAAUAUAAGCUCAGAGAAGGUGAAGCGCGCUGUAUUUCUUUCAGAAGAAACGCAUGCAAGCUUCAAGCUAGCAGACAGGAAGAACUAUCAGUUAUGUGUGAAGGUUGCUGAUCAAAAUGACCAGAAUGUAGGAGAGCUUCCUGGUGUGGAUCCUGGCUAGCUGCAUCAGGCUUCAAGCAUCCAUCCUUCAUAUCUGGUGGGAUCCUGGCACAGCUGGCUGCUUAUUCAAUCACUCAUCCUCCAUUUGUGAAUAUAGAAGAGUUUCCUAGUGGUGAUCUUGGCUGGCUGCAUUCAGGUGUUCAAGCAUCCAUCCUUCAUAUCUGGUUUACAUGAUUGAUAUGCUUUCGAGUGGGGAUCCUAGCACUAUUGGCUGCCUAUUCAAGCAUUCAUCCUCCAUCAUUUGGUAUCUCAUUUAUAUGUAAAAAUUUUCUUAGUCUUUUAUUUAGGUUGCAUGUCUACAUUCUUCAUAUGAACGGUAAAAUAUAAACAUCUCAUGAAUAAUAGAAAAAAAAAUUGGUAAGUUCCCUUAUGAAAAAUGAUUUAGAAAAA